AGCGAACGCUGGCGGCAGGCUUAACACAUGCAAGUCGAACGGAUCCUUCGGGAUUAGUGGCGGACGGGUGAGUAACACGUGGGAACGUGCCUUUUGGUUCGGAACAACACAGGGAAACUUGUGCUAAUACCGGAUGUGCCCUUCGGGGAAGAUUUAUCGCCAUUAGAGCGGCCCGCGUCUGAUUAGCUAGUUGGUGAGGUAAAGGCUCACCAAGGCUACGAUCAGUAGCUGGUCNGAGAGGAUGAUCAGCCACACUGGGACUGAGACACGGCCCAGACUCCUACGGGAGGCAGCAGUGGGGAAUCUUGCGCAAUGGGGGAACCCUGACGCAGCCAUGCCGCGUGAAUGAUGAAGGUCUUAGAUUGUAAAUUACUUUCAGCGGGACGAUAAUGACGGUACCCGCAGAAGAAGCUCCGCUAACUUCGUGCCAGCAGCCGCGGU
rnacentral:rRNA from 1 species